AUGUUCUCCACGUCCCUACUCCUACUGCUGCUGGCAGCCAUAGACUGUGUUCAGUGUCUUGAGCUGACCCAACCUGGAUCCUCAGUAGUAACCCCUGGUCAGUCACUACCUCUGACCUGUAAAGUGUCUGGAUAUUCCUUAACUGAUAGCAGCUACUGUACAGGCUGGAUACGACAACCUGCAGGAAAAACUCUGGAGUGGAUUGCAUUAGCAUGUGGUAGUGGUAACAAUUACCACAGUGAUAAACUGAAAAGCAGGUUUCAGAUUUCCAAAGACACGUCCAGCAGCACAGUAACAUUAACAGGACAGAACAUGCAGACUGAAGACACAGCUGUGUAUUACUGCGCUCGUAGACCACAGUGA